UGCAGGGCUAUCUUCUUCUAGCUAAGGUAUAGAAUCCUAGAUAGGAAAAUACAACGUAAUUUUACAUUUAUGAGCCCUUUGAUACAGAAGGCAUAUUAGAGAGGCUUUGGUGAAUUAGAGAGUGAGUCAAUUUUCAGAGUCAGCCCAGAACUCAAAAGGAUUAAGAGAUUCAUAUGGAAGAAACCAGUGAUUUCAAGUCUGCCUUUGAUUCGACUGACAGGAAGUAGACAAGAAGAGUCUUUCAAGAGAAGACAUCAUGACUCUUGAUGAGACUGAAACCCAAAUUGAUUCUGAAGAAGGUUCCUGGCCUGGCUUCAGGCAUCCCCUGCCCACACCUCUGAUGCAUAGUGGCCUUAUUCUCAGAACAGUGCCUGAAGAGUGGAGUUCCUCAAUGACAAAAGAUGACCUCAAUUGACUCUGCAACUCCAGCCAAAGGAAAUGCUCUCAGGCUGACUGCCACUUAAUUCUUAAUGGGAUUUGGUCAAGGACAGCAAGUAUGGGAAUGUCUGAAGUAUGUGGUUCAUCCAUUUCCUGGACUAGACAUUAAAAAUGUUGUAUGGAACCCAAA